AUGGUUUUACUAUACCUUCAAUACCAUGACUUAGGUGCCCUUGAGCAAGGCAUCGAACCCCCAACUGCUCCCCGGGCGCCGCAGCAUAAAAUGGCUGCCCACUGCUCCGGGUGUGUGUUCACAGUGUGUGUGUGUGUUCACUGCUCUGUGUGUGUGCACUUCGGAUGGGUUAAAUGCAGAGCACGAAUUCUGAGUAUGGGUCACCAUACUUGGCUGAAUGUCACUUCACCUCAAAAAGCUUUGGAUUAUUUUUGGAUUAUUGAUGCAGAGGCUCCAGCAGAGAUAAUGAACAUGAGUACGUAUUUUUUUUUAUUAACCUACUUGUAUUAGUUUUCUAUUCAAAAAAGUAUGUCCUUCAGAGCACAUAAACAAUAUACAUUUUGGAAAUGCCAGGUAUGUGAUGUUCAUUUAUAUUUCAACAUGACACAAUACCAGUUGAAACUUUUGAACAGUAAGAUUUUUAAUGUUUUUGUACAGAAUUCUCUUCUGCUCACCAAGCUGGCAUUUAUUUGAUCCAAAAUACAGAAAGUUGCAUUUGCUUAAGCAGUAAUAUUGGAAAAUAUUUUUACUAUUUUAAAUAACUGAUUUCUAUUUGAAUAUAUUUUAAAAUUUAAUUUAUUCCUGUGAUCAAAGCUAAACUUUCAGCAUCAUUACUCCAGUUUAUAACAUUACAUCAUUACUCCAAGUAUAACAAUAUACACUAUACCAUUCAAAAGUUGGGAGUCAGUAUAUAUAGAAAUUAAAACUUUUAUUUAGCACACAAGUGAUGAUAAAUACAAUCACGUUACAAACAAUGCUGUUCUUUUAAUUAAUCAAAAAGAUAAUAAUAAUAAUAAUAAUAAUAAUAAUAAUAAUAAUAAUAAUAAUAAUAAUAAUAAUAUUUUUUUUUAAGUAGCAAAUCAGAAUAUUAGAAUGAUUUCUGAAGGAUCGUUUGACUGGAGUAAUGAUGCUAAAAAUUCAGCUUUGAAAAUCAGCUUUGAUUGUUCCUAAUAAACUGUUUAACUGUCGCAAGUUAAUCUCAAGUUAUUUUGUGGGAUAAUUAAAUAUAUUCUAAAUAAACUAUAAUAAAUAAAUAAAUAUAUAUAUAUAUAUAUAUAUAUAUAUAUAUAUAUAUAUAUAUAUAUAUAUAUAUAUAUAUAUACACACACACACACACACACACACACACACACAUUUAUUUUGUCCUCACAUUCUUUAUUACAGGGGUCUCCAACCCUGGAGAGCUACUGUCCUGCAGAUUUCAGCUUCAACCCCAAUCAAACACACCUGAACCAGCUAAUAAAGGUGUUCAGGGCUACUUGAUAAUUACAGACAGUUGUGUUGGAGCAGGGUUGGAACUGAAGUCUGCAGGAUAGUAGCUCUCCUGGAGCAGGGUUGGAGAUCCCUGCUUUAUUGUAACUCUUCCCUCUUGGUCACAUACCUGACUGAAAGGCUCAUCAUGCAGGCCUUUGUCUUCUCAGGUGUGAAUCGCACUAAUAUUCAUGCUCAAUCACGUCUACUUGUAUAUGCCCUUUCGAAACAAAAAGUGUCUUAGAAAAUUUAAAUCAAUCUAUUGUUUUCUGUGAACGAGUAAACAAGAUGAUUUUCACAUCAUUUUGAAUGACCUUAGACCCUAGAGGGUUAACGCAUUAAGGAGAGAAAAAAAAAAGAAAUCGCAGCUAAUGGGUAAAAGCUAACGGGGAUUUGUCACUACUGUGGUAGUGACGAAGGAAUGUUUUGGGGUUUGAAGAACAACUUACUGCUGCGGCGAUGAGCUGUUAGAUAUUAGGGUAGGAAAGCUACUGCUGUGACAGUGGAAAGAUUAAAUAAAUUCAGAAAAGAAAGAAAGACUAACUGCUGCAGUAGUGAAGUGGUUAAAAUUCUGCGGGAGAGAAAGUCUCUGCCAAAAAUAGGCAAAUGACAAUGGUUAAUGGCGACUGGAAUCGUUGCUGGGGCGGAUAAGUAUUUGACAGUACUGCUGUAGUGACAAAGGAAGAGAAUUGUUUAAAAAAAUAUAUUGUAGGAAGGGAAAACCACUGCUGUGGCAGUGGAAAGGUUGAUUAAGGUUAAAAAUAAAAAUUUUGCUGCUGUGGCAGUGAAAAGGUUAGAAGUUUUGCAUGAGAGAAAGUCGCAGCUGUGGCAGCGGGAGGUUAGCAAGCCGACGGUCCUGGCCAUAGGACUGAGGGAUUUAUGAUUGGGAGACGGGGAAUUCCCUGCUUUGAGACGUAGGGCAAGGUGGUAGCUAGAGGGCGGGGAAAGGGGAAUUCCUGCUAUUUCUGCAAAACGAAAGUAAUUUGUUGAUUAAUGAUAGACAGAUGUGUGGUGGCUGAUUUAUUGAAUGAAAGAUUGGUGUGCUUGUCUGAUUUGGAAAAGGUUUGAUCUGAUGUAAGAAUGGAAGGCGUUCAAAGACCACCGGCCUAAGCUCUUUAUUUGGAUUUCAGGGAGACUGUUUUGGGCUGCCGAAGUUGCGGCACCUAUGCGAAAGGAAUGACUGGAAUAAGGGUUUGCUGAAAUGCCUGAUUUAGUCAUGACUGAUUUGAGGUGUUUUUGAAACCAAUGUCUGGAGAUGGGGCUAUUGUUGUCAUCUACGAAAAGGGGAUUGGUGGGAGACUGAAUUUGAGAAAGCCUAUGAGCUAAGAAGAGGGCAACGGAUUGGUAAGGCUGGAGGGAGGUGGGUAAGUAAAAAAUGAAAAUUGGAUGGUUUUGCUACGUUUGAUGUUAAAGCAAAUUGUGUUGUUAUCCAGUAUUUGAAGGUUGGAGAAGGUCGGAUGGAUUCUGGGAUUGAAUUUGGAAUUACAGGUGAAUUCUGAGCAUCUGAGGAAACCGAAGAAAGCGAGGUUGAAAAGGGUGUCAAGUAAUCUGGCUGUAUCUUCAGAGUGGUAACCUGAACGAAGGGUGAGUAAGCAAUUGCUUAAUAUUUAUUGGUUGAUAGGCAAGCGAGAAUCUAGAUGGCGGGGUUGAGAUUUUCAGUACCUUUUAAAAGCAGGGAGAGUUGAGGGUUGUUGAUGGUGGGGCACUGGCGGCCGAAAAUUAGUUUAUGGAAAAAAUGGAUACCGCUAAGAUAUGCUUUUAUGGAGCCGGGUUGGAUCUGCUUGAAGUGGUGGAGAAAAUUAGCAAAAGAAGAAACAGUUGUUAGAGAGAAGUCAGGAAAUUAAAGCUUGUAGUGAGAAUGGAAGGUUUUGAAACAGUUCCUGGACAGUUCUUGGAGAAACGGCUUGGAAGAUGAGAUGGGUGGAUAAGUCAUGAAGAUGGAGGAGAGGGUGGUUUACUGGAACGUCAGGUAUGAAUAAGGAGGCACUGGUGUGGUGACUGGUCUGCCUGAGGAACUCACUGUAGCAUACACGCGAGGUGUAUGUGUUAAAUAGCAGGUGGAUAUAGCUAUAAAAGGUUAAAUAAUGAUUGGGCUACAGAAGAUAGAUCUUAAUGAGGUGUUGAAAAAGUAAAUAAUAACACGGAGACAAAUAAUUUAAUUUUGGUGUUGGUACCAUGUAUUAAGUGAAACAAAGACAAACAACUUAAAAAUGUGAAUGAAGGAUGUAUUCAGGAUGGUUUACUGGAACGUCAGGUACGAAUAAGGAGGCACUGGUGUGGUGACUGGUAUGCCUGAGGAACUAAUGAUCUGAAUUUCUGAAAGGCAAAAUGGUAGAGGGACUCAGCAAUUGAGUUUUUACAACCUGGUAUAUGGACUGCAUUAAUUAUGAACUGGUUGCAGGCAGACGUCCAGAUCAAAUGUCUUAGAAAAGGCAUGAUUUCUGUGGAACUGGAUCUGCCUUUAUUUAUGCAGUGGACUGCUGCUGAGUUGUUGCAAUGGAAGAGAAUGCUUUUAGAGGCCCUUUCUUGCCCCCAAAAAGUCGC
ensembl:lncRNA